CCUACGGGAGACAGCAGUGGGGAAUAUUGGGCAAUGGAGGCAACUCUGACCCAGCAACGCCGCGUGAAUGAUGAAGGUCUUCGGAUUGUAAAGUUCUGUGAUGGGGGAUGAACACAAUGACGGUACCCCAAUAGCAAGCCACGGCUAACUACGUGCCAGCAGCCGCGGUAAUACGUAGGUGGCAAGCGUUAUCCGGAAUGACUGGGCGUAAAGGGUGCGUAGGUGGUCUAGUAAGUUGGCGGUGUAAUUCCGGGGCUCAACCUCGGCGCUACCGCCAAAACUAUUAGACUAGAGUGCAGGGGGGGUAAGUGGAAUGCCUAGUGUAGCGGUGGAAUGCGUAGAUAUUAGGAGGAACAUCAGGGGCGAAGGCGACUUACUGGACUGUAACUGACACUGAGGCACGAAAGCGUGGGGAGCAAACAGGAUUAGAUACCCCAGUAGUC
rnacentral:rRNA from 1 species